UACGUAGGUGGCAAGCGUUGUCCGGAUUUAUUGGGUUUAAAGGGUGCGUAGGCGGUCCCAUAAGUCAGUGCUGAAAUAUCCCGGCUUAACCGGGAGGGUGGCAUUGAUACUGCGGGACUUGAGUGGAGUUGAAGUGGGCGGAAUUGACGGUGUAGCGGUGAAAUGCUUAGAUAUCGUCAAGAACACCGAUAGUGAAGACAGCUCACUAAGCUCAAACUGACGCUGAGGCACGAAAGUGUGGGGAUCAAAACAGG
rnacentral:rRNA from 1 species